ACAAACCAAACAAAACCCAUCACAGUACUUACGGGAAACAAAAUUUUAUAAACUGUUGCAUGUAUUCCUGAAGGGGCUGAGGGCGCUGUGCUUGUGCCGCCGUUGAUCAUUGUCAACGAAGAAGAUCAGCCCGUCCUUCUGCCUUCGUUGAUCGUUGCCGACGGUGGAGAUCAGCCCGUCCUUGUGCCGCCGUUGAUCGUUGCCUAGGAACUCCUUCAGCCGUCGCCGUUGAUGGCCGUGGUGAGGCGUGUGGUGAGGGAGUGGUGAGGCGUUUGGCGUGUGUGAGGUAAGUGAAUGAGUGGUGGGGUUUUUUUUUUUGUUUAUUUCAAUUUUAUAGGUUUGUUCUUUCAAAUUUUUUUAAUCAUUUAAUAAUUAAACAAAUCUCAGCCAUUGGAUCCACUCUAUCUGCUGUACCGUACAUCCGCCUUGGCCGUACAGCAGAAAAAAUAAACCAAUAGAGUACAAAAUCUCAUGACACAAUCCAAUUUCUCAGCAAGCAAUCACAAUUUAGCUAAAAAUCAACCCCUUAAUAAGAAAUUUAAUUUUGAAAACAAAAAGCUUUUAAUCAAAACCUCUAUUUAAUACAUAUGUAAGACAUAAUUGAAAUACAUAAAGAAGAAUCCUCGAGAAGAUAUGAAGAGAGAUUACCUUCCCUUUUAAACUAUUAAGCCGCCAUUGUUAACUUGUUAUAUAGGCACCCAAAAAAUCUCAAAUCUGCAAUAUAAAACAAUGAAAAUGUCAUUAUCUUAAGGGACAUGCAAUACUUGAGCUUGAAAUAGGUCUGAGAAUUUUAAUAGACAUUUUAUCGAACAGCUAACAUGCAUGUUGUAAUAUGCUAUUUCUAAAUCAAAGCGUGUAUUAGAUAAGGAUAUUUUACCUUAAAAUUUUAUAUCACAAAAAUAUCCUCAUAUAUAAUUACAAAACCAUCCUCUUUUAAUUUCUUAUCUCUCAUGUAUGUGCUUUGUGUAUAUAUUUCUCAUUAAAUUGAUUUUGGUUAAGGUAGAAGAGUGCUAUUCCAUGAAAUUAUAUAAUUUAUUAAUAGCUAAUUCAAUUGUAGAUGCUAUCGAAAUUAAAAAUGGUCUCUUGGUUACCAUAAGAAAAUUGAUUUUUCCCAGAAAGCAAUUAUGAACUACCAUUAAUUCCUUUCCGGUCCAAAAUAUUUGCAGGUGAACCAAUACUUUUCAAGGUGCCAGUUUCAUAUGCUAAAAAUUUUUGCAAUCGAUCAACUCAUUAACCUGCUGUACCGUACAUCCGCCUUGGCCGUACAGCAGUCAAUAUUAACCUAAAUCUAUUCCCUUGAAACUAUGAAAAUUACUUUACAUCAAAAUCAAAAUGGCAAAAACAGUUCAGGACUUUAAACACACUAUUCCUAGUUCCCAUUCCAAUAUACAUAUUACUUAUAAACAAUAAAAAGUUCCCAUUAAAAAAUGUUAUUAUAAUUUUACUCAAAUCAUCAUAUGCAGCUCAUGCAAAGAAAGAUGGCAAAAUUGAGGAAAUAAAAAGGUUUUGUGGAAACCAACAAACAAAACUAAAGAAUCAAAUAAAAAGGGGAAAAAAACGAUAAAUGAUUCCCAAAUUAAUAAUUUAGUUCACAUCUCUAAUUGAAAGCAAGGAACAAAGAAUUAUACAAGAAUCAUUGAUACCAAGUUUACUAGAUAACAAGACAAUAUAUCAUAUACACUGCUGCUUCAGUUUCCAGAAAUAAAGGAAAAUUCUGAUUACCAGUCAUGUUUAACUUUAGCUUGGUCACAGCAGUAAGAGCACAACCAAAAUCAUUAGAACAAGGGACAUAUAAACUGGCAAAAGAAAUGUCUGAUCCAGAAGAAACGUUGAAACCAAAACACUGAAAUUGCAACCUUGGCCAUACUCACUGCAGCAGCCACAUGCCUAAUUGCAUAUGCCACAACAACCUAUGCGCCACAAAAUUAACAACACACACCAAAUUAACUGCAAAUAAAAGCCAAAUCAUUGACCCCUUUUUUUUUCCAAAAAAAAGGAGUCGCAUAAAGGCAGGAAAAUAAUUUUAAAUGAAUUUAACAUAGCAACUACUUUCAUUACUGGGAUCAAGAGAAAAUAAAAGCUGUCAAUCUAAAAAUUAGAAAUUUUAAUUAGUUUUUCCUGAAAAUCAAAAUCUAAAACAACAGAAAACUUUUUUUUUUCUUAUCUUCACUUUCUCAGCAACCAAACAAACUUGUACUCAUCAUCAAAACCAACAUAAACCCUAAAAACAAAAAACAUUAUUUUCUUAAAAUUUCCUCACUUUUCUCACAAACCAAACAAAACCCAUCACAGUACUUACGGGAAACAAAAUUUCAUAAACUGUUGCAUGUAUUCCUGAAGGGGCUGAGGGCGCUGUGCUUGUGCCGCCGUUGAUCAUUGUCAACGAAGAAGAUCAGCUCGUCCUUCUACCUUUGUUGAUCGUUGCCGACGGUGGAGAUCAGCCCGUCCUUGUGCCGCUGUUGAUCAUUGCCUAGGAACUCCUUCAGCCGUCGCCGUUGAUGGCCGUGGUGAGGCGUGUGGUGAGGGAGUGGUGAGGCGUUUGGCGUGUGUGAGGUAAGUGAGUGAGUGGUGGGGUUUUUUUUUUUGUUUAUUUCAAUUUUAUAAGUUUGUUCUUUCAAAGUUUUUUAAUCAUUUAAUAAUUAAACAAAUCUCAGCUAUUGGAUCCACUCUAUUCAAUCCAACGGUAAUUUUUUAUUUACUGUAGCUAUCCCCUUUAACGGGUUGCCUUAUUUUUUUCUGCUUUUAUUCAUUUUUUCUCUCUUUUUUUUUUAAUUAAAACUACAACCCUUGGAUUCAAACAAGCUGAAUCCAACGGCUCAAAGGCAGCCCCUGCACCAUACAGAGAUUUUAUGCCCUGCAUGGUAGCCGUGUCC
rnacentral:lncRNA from 1 species